rnacentral:rRNA from 1 species
AUUGAACGCUGGCGGCAUGCCUUACACAUGCAAGUCGAACGGUAACGGGCCUUCGGGUGCCGACGAGUGGCGAACGGGUGAGUAAUAUAUCGGAACGUGCCCAGUAGUGGGGGAUAGCCCGGCGAAAGCCGGAUUAAUACCGCAUGAGACCUGAGGGUGAAAGCGGGGGAUCGCAAGACCUCGCGCUAUUGGAGCGGCCGAUAUCAGAUUAGCUAGUUGGUGGGGUAAAGGCCUACCAAGGCAACGAUCUGUAGUUGGUCUGAGAGGACGACCAGCCACACUGGGACUGAGACACGGCCCAGACUCCUACGGGAGGCAGCAGUGGGGAAUUUUGGACAAUGGGCGCAAGCCUGAUCCAGCAAUGCCGCGUGCAGGAAGGAGGCCUUCGGGUUGUAAACUGCUUUUGUCAGGGAAGAAAUCUUCUGGGUUAAUACCUCGGGAGGAUGACGGUACCUGAAGAAUAAGCACCGGCUAACUACGUGCCAGCCGCCGCGGUAACAC